UCCCUCGUGGCUCAGAUGGUAAAGCAUCUGCCUGAAAUGCGGGAGACCUGGGUUCAAUUCCUGGGUUGGGAA
rnacentral:tRNA from 1 species